GUCGAACGAUGAACCAGAAGCUUGCUUUUGGGGAUUAGUGGCGAACGGGUGAGUAACACGUGAGCAACCUGCCCCUCACUCUGGGAUAAGCGCUGGAAACGGUGUCUAAUACUGGAUACGAGGCACAACCGCAUGGUUAGUGUCUGGAAAGAUUUUUUGGUGGGGGAUGGGCUCGCGGCCUAUCAGCUUGUUGGUGAGGUAAUGGCUCACCAAGGCGUCGACGGGUAGCCGGCCUGAGAGGGUGACCGGCCACACUGGGACUGAGACACGGCCCAGACUCCUACGGGAGGCAGCAGUGGGGAAUAUUGCACAAUGGGCGGAAGCCUGAUGCAGCAACGCCGCGUGAGGGAUGACGGCCUUCGGGUUGUAAACCUCUUUUAGCAGGGAAGAAGCGUGAGUGACGGUACCUGCAGAAAAAGCACCGGCUAACUACGUGCCAGCAGCCGCGGUAAUACGUAGGGUGCAAGCGUUAUCCGGAAUUAUUGGGCGUAAAGAGCUCGUAGGCGGUUUGUCGCGUCUGCUGUGAAAUCCCGAGGCUCAACCUCGGGCCUGCAGUGGGUACGGGCAGACUAGAGUGCGGUAGGGGAGAUUGGAAUUCCUGGUGUAGCGGUGGAAUGCGCAGAUAUCAGGAGGAACACCGAUGGCGAAGGCAGAUCUCUGGGCCGUAACUGACGCUGAGGAGCGAAAGGGUGGGGAGCAAACAGGCUUAGAUACCCUGGUAGUCCACCCCGUAAACGUUGGGAACUAGUUGUGGGGUCCUUUCCACGGAUUCCGUGACGCAGCUAACGCAUUAAGUUCCCCGCCUGGGGAGUACGGCCGCAAGGCUAAAACUCAAAGGAAUUGACGGGGACCCGCACAAGCGGCGGAGCAUGCGGAUUAAUUCGAUGCAACGCGAAGAACCUUACCAAGGCUUGACAUACACAAGAACACCCUAAAAAUAAGGGACUCUUUGGACACUGGUGANAGGUGGUGCAUGG
rnacentral:rRNA from 1 species